rnacentral:rRNA from 1 species
GGGGAAUAUUGCACAAUGGGCGAAAGCCUGAUGCAGCAACGCCGCGUGAGUGAUGAAGGUCUUCGGAUUGUAAAGCUCUGUCUUUUGGGACGAUAAUGACGGUACCAAAGGAGGAAGCCACGGCUAACUACGUGCCAGCAGCCGCGGUAAUACGUAGGUGGCGAGCGUUGUCCGGAUUUACUGGGCGUAAAGGGUGCGUAGGCGGAUGUUUAAGUGAGAUGUGAAAUACCCGGGCUUAACUUGGGUGCUGCAUUUCAAACUGGAUAUCUAGAGUGCAGGAGAGGAGAAUGGAAUUCCUAGUGUAGCGGUGAAAAUGCGUAGAGAUUAGGAA